rnacentral:rRNA from 1 species
AUUGAACGCUGGCGGCAGGCCUAACACAUGCAAGUCGAACGAGUGGCGGACGGGUGAGUAAUGUCUGGGCAACUGCCUGAUGGAGGGGGAUAACUACUGGAAACGGUAGCUAAUACCGCAUACCAUCGGAUGUGCCCAGAUGGGAUGAGCUAGUAGGUGGGGUAACGGCUCACCGAGGCGACGAUCCCUAGCUGGUCUGAGGGGAGGACAAGCAACACGGGAACUGAGACACGGUCCAGACUCCGACGGGAGGCAGCAGUGGGGAAUAGUGCACAUGGGUCGAAAGCCUGACGCAGCCAUGCCGCGUGUAUGAAGAAGGCUUUCGGGUUGUAAAGUACGUUCAGCGGGGAGGCGUUACCCGCAGAAGAAGCACCGGCUAACUCCGUGCCAGAAGCCGCGGUAAUAC